AGCAGGAUGGUGGCCGUCGAGGCUUCGGAUGCGGUCGACGCAGAUGAGAACAGUUCAUAGAGUCGUACCAGGUAUAGCUACUCUUCCUCUUCAAUCAAUAGCAGGCAAUUCUGUGUGUGGAGGUUGCAGCUCACACGGGUUUGUGGAGGUGUUGGCUCCAGUAUUUACCAGGGAUGUUUGUAGAUGUGUUGGCAUAUGAACCAAUACAUAAAUUGAUUGAUUGAUUGCUUAGCACAAUGCUGAUUAGACUAAAUAAUUAGUUGAUCGAAUUAUUUGCAUCUGACAUGUUGCACACAUAUAUCAGGCAGAACAAGUUGUUCCACGCAUGGGGUCUGAUUUAAAUAUUUUCGGAGAUGCAUAAUAUGCCAAACACUUCUAAAGGUGCCUCGUCCAUGGGCGCAUGAUAGUGGAAAAACAUCUGUAAAUUGUGCAGGAUCCUAUAGAGCAAAUGGGCAUCAUCGACGUGCAGUACACGCUCUCUUAGGCAGAUAAGUAACCUCAGACAACUUAUUUUGUGAAGACCGGUGGUUCAUGGUCUGGAAGUUUUGUUUUUCUCUCUAAAUUUUGUACUUAGAUAAUCCCUUAAAUGCUUUUUACUGCUUGAUCACAUAAUACAUGUCCGUGCAAGAAAGGAGUUGUUAAAAN
rnacentral:lncRNA from 1 species